AGAGUUUGAUCCUGGCUCAGGAUGAACGCUAGCUACAGGCUUAACACAUGCAAGUCGAGGGGCAGCAUGGUCCUAGCUUGCUAAGGCCGAUGGCGACCGGCGCACGGGUGAGUAACACGUAUCCAACCUGCCGUCUACUCUUGGACAGCCUUCUGAAAGGAAGAUUAAUACAAGAUGGCAUCAUGAGUCCGCAUGUUCACAUGAUUAAAGGUAUUCCGGUAGACGAUGGGGAUGCGUUCCAUUAGAUAGUAGGCGGGGUAACGGCCCACCUAGUCUUCGAUGGAUAGGGGUUCUGAGAGGAAGGUCCCCCACAUUGGAACUGAGACACGGUCCAAACUCCUACGGGAGGCAGCAGUGAGGAAUAUUGGUCAAUGGGCGAGAGCCUGAACCAGCCAAGUAGCGUGAAGGAUGACUGCCCUAUGGGUUGUAAACUUCUUUUAUAAAGGAAUAAAGUCGGGUAUGGAUACCCGUUUGCAUGUACUUUAUGAAUAAGGAUCGGCUAACUCCGUGCCAGCAGCCGCGGUAAUACGGAGGAUCCGAGCGUUAUCCGGAUUUAUUGGGUUUACAGGGAGCGUAGAUGGAUAUUUAAGUCAGUUGUGAAAGUUUGCGGCUCAACCGUAAAAUUGCAGUUGAUACUGGAUAUCUUGAGUGCAGUUGAGGCAGGCGGAAUUCGUGGUGUAGCGGUGAAAUGCUUAGAUAUCACGAAGAACUCCGAUUGCGAAGGCAGCCUGCUAAGCUGCAACUGACAUUGAGGCUCGAAAGUGUGGGUAUCAAACAGGAUUAGAUACCCUGGUAGUCCACACGGUAAACGAUGAAUACUCGCUGUUUGCGAUAUACUGCAAGCGGCCAAGCGAAAGCGUUAAGUAUUCCACCUGGGGAGUACGCCGGCAACGGUGAAACUCAAAGGAAUUGACGGGGGCCCGCACAAGCGGAGGAACAUGUGGUUUAAUUCGAUGAUACGCGAGGAACCUUACCCGGGCUUAAAUUGCAGAUGAAUUACGGUGAAAGCCGUAAGCCGCAAGGCAUCUGUGAAGGUGCUGCAUGGUUGUCGUUAGCUCGUGCCGUGAGGUGUCGGCUUAAGUGCCAUAACGAGCGCAACCCCUCUCCAUAGUUGCCAUCAGGUUAAGCUGGGCACUCUGUGGACACUGCCACCGUAAGGUGUGAGGAAGGUGGGGAUGACGUCAAAUCAGCACGGCCCUUACGUCCGGGGCUACACACGUGUUACAAUGGCAGGUACAGAGAGCCGGUCGUAUGCAAAUACGAUCCAAUCCUUAAAGCCUGUCUCAGUUCGGACUGGGGUCUGCAACCCGACCCCACGAAGCUGGAUUCGCUAGUAAUCGCGCAUCAGCCAUGGCGCGGUGAAUACGUUCCCGGGCCUUGUACACACCGCCCGUCAAGCCGUGAAAGCCGGGGGCGCCUGAAGUCCGUGACCGCAAGGAUCGGCCUAGGGCGAAACUGGUAAUUGGGGCUAAGUCGUAACAAGGUA
rnacentral:rRNA from 1 species